AUACGGAGGAGGGGGCAGUGGUGGCGGUGGUGGUGGAUACGGCGGUGGAAGUCAAAUGAUGGGGUACUGAAAAGAACAAAGGAUCUCAUCGAACUCAGUAACAUCCAUCGCACGCAACAUCGUCAGAAAAAAUCUAUAAUAACGAAACAAAUUAUGCAAAUUCAUCAAUAUUUCAACAUAAUUUUCAGAUGAAGUUGAUUUCAUCUUCCAAUACUUUAAAUGCAUUCACUAUUUAAUAGAAUAUGUAACGUUUUUGUAGUAUUAAUAAUUUCAACUAUCAUCACUGCGUUUGACAUGCACCAUCUGCAUCCAAUACUGUAAUGAAUGAAAACUCGAGUUAUGAUUUUAUAACCGUUCCACACUAUAAACUAGAAAAUGAUUCUGGAAAGAAAUAGAAUAUAAUUUUUCAACUUGUUCGGAUUCGUUUCGAUAAUUAUUUUCUGCUGCUGAUCAUCACUAUUUUAAUGUUUACACUCAUCAAAACUAUUUCAUUCAGAUUAGUAACAGAUUCAAGCGAGUAUUAUCAUAUUCCGUGCAAGCGAAACAUACAUUCAUUAAUGGAACAUAGUAUUUACAUUCAUUCCCCUUCCUAACACUUUUUUUACUUUUAGACAAGAAGUCACACUUUUCAUUUUAUCACUUUUUUCACGGUCACAAAUUUCUUACUCUGCUUUUCAUUUCACUGAUAAAUCCGUUUGAAAGCAUAGAAUUAUUUAUUGUAGAAAUUUUCUUCAUGCAUUUCUGUAUAACUGAAAUAGUAUUUAUUCGAGCUCUUGUUGUAACUUUGAUCGAGCUCCAACUGAGCAAUUUACGUAGAUAUCUCUCAUGCAAUAGUGAAACUACUCAAUUUUAACAGUGUAACUGUGAAAUAAAAUUCGUCAAAUUGUUCAGUUUGUAAUUGUAGUGAAACAAUCCAUUUCGUGAAUGCAAUAAAUAACGAAGGCCCUUCGAUCUCCGCCGCUUCUGUAAGGGCUCAGAGAAACCUAAUUCAACUUUUGUCGAUAGUUGCGUUAGUUUUAUUCGAGUUUUAAUAAGUACUGGUAUAUUUAUUUGUAAAGUAUACACUAAUCAUUAUAAUCAUGACUAUCAUUUAAGACUGAGACACGAUCAUGGCAUGUAAAUAAAUUCGGUGUGAGUAAA
rnacentral:lncRNA from 1 species